rnacentral:misc_RNA from 1 species
GAUGUAGAACGCAGCGAAAUGCGAUAAGUAAUGCGAAUUGCAGAAUUCAGUGAGUCAUCGAAUCUUUGAACGCACAUUGCGCCCUGUGGUAUUCCGCAGGGCAUGCCUGUUCGAGCGUCAUUUCAACCCUCAAGCUCUGCUUGGUGUUGGGCCACGCCCUCGCGGCCGGCCCAAAAGCCAGUGGCGGCGCCGUCCGGCUCUAAGCGUAGUACAUCUCUCGCUCUAGGGCCCGGCGGCUGCCUGCCAGAACCCCAAACUCUUAUGGUUGACCUCGGAUCAGGUAGGGAUACCCGCUGAACUUAAGCAUAUCAAUAAGCGGAGGA